rnacentral:rRNA from 1 species
GAUGAACGCUAGCUACAGGCUUAACACAUGCAAGUCGAGGGGCAGCAUGGACUCAGCUUUGCUGAGUUUGAUGGCGACCGGCGCACGGGUGAGUAACGCGUAUCCAACCUGCCCUUUACUCCGGGAUAGUCUCCUGAAAGGGAGUUUAAUACCGGAUGUGUUUGUUUUUCCGCAUGGGAGCGACAAAUAAAGAUUAAUUGGUAAAGGAUGGGGAUGCGUCCCAUUAGCUUGUUGGCGGGGUAACGGCCCACCAAGGCAACGAUGGGUAGGGGUUCUGAGAGGAAGGUCCCCCACAUUGGAACUGAGACACGGUCCAAACUCCUACGGGAGGCAGCAGUGAGGAAUAUUGGUCAAUGGGCGAGAGCCUGAACCAGCCAAGUAGCGUGAAGGACGACGGCCCUACGGGUUGUAAACUUCUUUUAUAAGGGAAUAAAGUUCGCCACGUGUGGUGUUUUGUAUGUACCUUAUGAAUAAGCAUCGGCU